AUAGUAAUUUCCUUAAUCAUCCU
rnacentral:snRNA from 1 species